rnacentral:rRNA from 1 species
UACGUAGGGUGCGAGCGUUAAUCGGAAUUACUGGGCGUAAAGCGUGCGCAGGCGGUUUUGUAAGCCAGAUGUGAAAGCCCCGGGCUUAACCUGGGAAUGGCAUUUGGGACUGCAAGGCUUGAGUGCGGCAGAGGAGACUGGAAUUCCGCGUGUAGCAGUGAAAUGCGUAGAUAUCGGGAGGAACACCGGUGGCGAAGGCGGCGACCUGGGUAGAUACUGACGCUGAGGUGCGAAAGCGUGGGGAGCAAACAGG